UACGGAGGGUGCAAGCGUUAUCCGGAUUCACUGGGUUUAAAGGGUGCGUAGGUGGGCCGGUCAGUCAGUGGUGAAAUCUCCGGGCUUAACUCGGAAACUGCCAUUGAUACUAUCUGUCUUGAAUACCGUGGAGGUUAGCGGAAUAUGUCAUGUAGCGGUGAAAUGCUUAGAUAUGACAUAGAACACCAAUUGCGUAGGCAGCUCACUACGGAGUCAUUGACGCUGAGGCACGAAAGCGUGAGGAUCAAACAGG
rnacentral:rRNA from 1 species